GUCAGAUACUAAUAUGGCCACCCAAGCUUUCUUUUGAUUCAUUUUAGCAAGAUAUAUCUUUUUCUGUACUUUUAUUCUUAACAUGUUUGUGUCAUUAUAUUUAAUAUAAUGAGUUUCUUCUUUUUCCCUAUGGUUUCAGAUAGUGUUUCAUAAAAUGAGUUUCUUGGCCACGUGUGGUGGCUCACACCUGUAAUCCCAUUACUUUGGGAGGCAGAAGCAGGAGGAUCACAUGAGCCCAGGAGUUCAAGAUCAUCCUGAGCAGCAUGGCGAGACCUCGUCUCUGCAAAACUAAAUUAGCCGGGAUGCAAAUGUUAGUUUUAAAGGAGACAUUAAAUUGAGUCUUCCAGUUUACAUAAUGAAGAUCAAACCACCUAAGCCUGUUACAGGCACCACAUUCAAAAGCCCCCUGGAAGUCUUUGCAAAGAUCAAGGACUGCUACGGACUGGGCUCCGGGCAGAAUCAUUUCAUCAAGGACAGUCAGUGGGAGCAGCAAGCUGAGAUCUUCAACGCUUCCUACAAGAAGUACCUAGAUAAGGAGUGGGAGGAGGAGCCACUCAGUACGGCCACCUUCUAUUUCCUUCUUCCUAGCUGCCUAUUUGCAAUGCCAACGGAAGUCAAGGGCCCCUCAGGAAUGGCCUGUGUCCUUGGUAUACACUGGACCAGAAGUCACAAUUUCUUCCUGUAUUCACUAAACCGAACUCUAAAGGAUAAAGCUGACCCCGAGGGUGUGUGGCCCUGUGCUGCGCCCAUUGCAGUCUCUCAGCUCAGCUGCUCCUCCUCCUACCUGGUGCUGGCCUGCGAGGAUGGUGUGCUCACGCUGUGGGACCUGGCCAAAGGAUUCCCUCUUGGGGUCGCUGCUCUUCCUCAGGGAUGUUUCUGCCAAAGCAUUCACUUCCUAAAAUAUUUCUUGGUCCACAAAGGACAGAAUAUGUAUCCUGAAGGUCCAGUGAAAUCCCAAAUGAAAUGUGUGGUGCUGUGCACAGACGCCUCCCUCCAUCUGGUGGAGGCUAGCGGGACCCAAGGACCCACCAUCAGUGUGCUUGUUGAGAGGCCUGUAAAGCACCUGGAUAAAACCAUCUGUGCCGUGGCCCCAGUCCCAGCCUUACCUGGCAUGGUGCUCAUCUUUUCCAAGAAUGGCUCUGUGUGCCUUAUGGAUGUGGCCAAGCGUGAAAUCAUCUGUGCCUUUGCCCCUCCGGGAGCCUUUCCUCUGGAGGUCCCCUGGAAGCCAGUGUUUGCUGUGUCUCCAGACCAUCCAUGUUUCCUGCUCCGAGGAGACUAUUCACAUGAAACUGCGUCCACCGACGAUGCUGGAAUCCAAUAUUCUGUUUUCUAUUUUAAUUUUGAGGCCUGCCCACUCCUGGAAAAUAUCUCAAAAAAUUGCACCAUUCCUCAAAGGGACUUGGAUAACAUGGCCUUCCCCCAAGCACUGCCACUGGAGAAAAGAUGUGAGCGUUUCCUCCAGAAGAGCUAUCGGAAGCUGGAGAAGAACCCAGAGAAGGAGGAGGAGCACUGGGCCCGGCUUCAGAGGUACUCCUUGUCGCUCCAGAGAGAGAACUUCAAGAAGUGAGGCUGCCACCGCCCCGGGAUCUUUGAAAAGGAGGUUUCAGCCACGAGGCAGCUGCUCCCAGGACACUGAGGCCAAGAGAAAUGUAACAGAGCCACAGCUCCACAGGCCUGCACUCGGAGUCUGGGGCCUCUGCAGAGCCAGCAAGGGGAAAAGUAUAAUCUGGGGGACCUUCAACCACUAAGCCUCUUGUCAGAGCCCUCAGGCAGGCAGAUGUGUCACCCAAAUAAACAGUGAUAUUGUCUCCAG
rnacentral:sRNA from 1 species